rnacentral:tRNA from 1 species
GCAUUGGUGGCUCAAUAGUAGACUUCCUACCUCCCAUACAGGAGACCUAGGUUCAAUUCCUAUUCAAUGCA